rnacentral:rRNA from 1 species
AUUGAACGCUGGCGGAAUGCUUUACACAUGCGAGUCGAACGGUAGAGGGGGCAACCCCUCGAGAGUGGCGAACGGGUGAGUAAUAUAUCGGAACGUGCCCAGUCGUGGGGGAUAACGUAGCGAAAGUUACGCUAAUACCGCAUACGAUCUAAGGAUGAAAGCGGGGGAUCGCAAGACCUCGCGCGAUUGGAGCGGCCGAUAUCAGAUUAGGUAGUUGGUGGGGUAAAGGCUCACCAAGCCAACGAUCUGUAGCUGGUCUGAGAGGACUACCAGCCACACGAGAACUGAGACACGGUCCAGAGUCCUACGGGAGGCAGCAGUGGGGAAUUUUAGACAAUGGACGCAAGUCUGAUCCAGCCAUUCCGCGUGCAGGAUGAAGGUCCUCGGGUUGUAAACUGCUUUUGUACGGAACGAAAAGGUCUCUCUUAAUACGGGGGACUCAUGACGGUACCGUAAGAAUAAGCACCGGCUAACUACGUGCCAACCGCCGCGGUAA